rnacentral:rRNA from 1 species
CUGGAGCGCUUAGAAGUGAGAAUGCCGGUAUGAGUAGCGAAAGACAGGUGAGAAUCCUGUCCACCGAAUGACUAAGGUUUCCUGGGGAAGGCUCGUCCGCCCAGGGUUAGUCGGGACCUAAGCCGAGGCCGACAGGCGUAGGCGAUGGAUAACAGGUUGAUAUUCCUGUACCCGUUGUUUUUGUUUGAGCAAUGGAGGGACGCAGGAGGCUAAGGAAUGCAGACGAU